rnacentral:rRNA from 1 species
GACGAACGCUGGCGGCGUGCUUAACACAUGCAAGUCGAACGGAAAGGCCCUGCUUUUGUGGGGUGCUCGAGUGGCGAACGGGUGAGUAACACGUGAGUAACCUGCCCUUGACUUUGGGAUAACUUCAGGAAACUGGGGCUAAUACCGGAUAGGAGCUCCUGCUGCAUGGUGGGGGUUGGAAAGUUUCGGCGGUUGGGGAUGGACUCGCGGCUUAUCAGCUUGUUGGUGGGGUAGUGGCUUACCAAGGCUUUGACGGGUAGCCGGCCUGAGAGGGUGACCGGCCACAUUGGGACUGAGAUACGGCCCAGACUCCUACGGGAGGCAGCAGUGGGGAAUAUUGCACAAUGGGCGGAAGCCUGAUGCAGCAACGCCGCGUGCGGGAUGACGGCCUUCGGGGUGUAAACCGCUUUCGACUGUGACGAAGCGUGAGUGACGGUAAUGGGUAAAGAAGCACCGGCUAACUACGUG